rnacentral:rRNA from 1 species
UACGGGGGGGGCAAGCGUUGUUCGGAAUUACUGGGCGUAAAGGGCGCGUAGGCGGCCUGCUAAGUCGGACGUGAAAUCCCCGGGCUCAACUCGGGAACUGCGUCCGAUACUGGCGGGCUCGAAUCCGGGAGAGGGAUGUGGAAUUCCAGGUGUAGCGGUGAAAUGCGUAGAUAUCUGGAGGAACACCGGUGGCGAAGGCGGCAUCCUGGACCGGCAUUGACGCUGAGGCGCGAAAGCCAGGGGAGCAAAC